AGUUCGAUUCUGGCUCAGAUUGAACGCUGGCGGGAUGCUUUACACAUGCAAGUCGAACGGCGCUUGCGGGCACGGUCUGGUGGCGAGUGGCGAACGGGUGAGUAAUGUAUCGGAGACGUGCCUAGUAGCGGGGGAUAACUACGCGAAAGCGUAGUAAUACCACGCUUACGCCCUUCGAAGCGGGGUUUAUGGGCCUCACGCAGCCGACAGCCGAUAUCGGAUUAGCUAGUUGGUGGGGUAACGGCUCACCAAGGCGACGAUCCGUAGCUGGUUUGAGGACGACCAGCCACACUGGGACGAGACACGGCCCAGACUCCUACGGGAGGCAACGGUAGAAUUUGAACAAUGGGAAAACCUGAUCCAGCCAUCCGGCAGCGUGCGAUGAAGGCCUUCCGGGUUGUAACGCACAGCGGAAAGAAACGGCCUGGGAUAAUACCCGUGCAACUGACAACACCUGCAAAGAUAGCGCGGCUAACUACGUGCCAGCAGCCGCGGUAAUACGUAGGGUGCAAGCGUUAAUCGGAAUUACUGGGCGUAAAGCGUGCACAGGCGGUUCGGAAAAGAAAGAUGUGAAAUCCCAGGACUUAACUUUGGAACUGCAUUUUUAACUACCGAGCUAGAGUGUGUCAGAGGUGGAAUUCCGCGUGUAGCAGUGAAAUGCGUAGAUGUGGAGGAACUUACCGAUGGCGAAGGCAGCCUCCUGGGAUAACACUGACGCUCAUGCACGAAAGCGUGGGGAGCAAACGGGAUUAGGUAUACCUGGUAGUCCACGCCCUAAGCAAUCAACUGACUGUUGGGGCCUUCGGGCCUUGGUAGCGCAGCUAACGUGAGAUUGUUGCCGCCUGGGAAAUACGGUCGCAAGAUUAAACUCAAAGGAAUUGACGGGGACCCGCACAAGCGGUGGAUGAUGUGGAUUAAUUCGAUGCAACGCGAAAAACGCCACUACCGCCAGCAUGUCACGAGUCUCCCGAAGAGAUUUGGGAGUGCUCGCAAGAGAACCGGAACCUGGUGCUGCAUGGCUGUCGUCAGCUCGUGUCGUCGAAGAUGUGGGUGAAUAUCCACAACAGGCGCAGCCCUUGUCAUUAGUUGCUACGAAAGGGGCACUCUAAUGAGACUGCCGGUAAGCCGGAGGAAGGUGGGGAUGACGUCAAGUCCUCAUGGCCCUUAUGGGUGGGGCUUCACACGUCAUACAAUGGUCGGGACAGAGGGUCGCCAACCCGCGGGGAGCCAAUCCCAGAAACCCGAUCGUAGUCCGGAUCGCAGUCUGCAACUCGACUGCGUGAAGUCGGAAUCGCUGGUAAUCGCGGAUCAGCAUGUCGCGGUGAAUACGUUCCCGGGUCUUGUACACACCGCCCGUCACACCAUGGGAGUGGGUUUUACCAGAAGUAGUUAGCCUAACCGUACGAGGCGAUUACCACAGUAGGAUUAGCGACAGGGUGAAGUCGUAACAAGGUAA
rnacentral:rRNA from 1 species